GAGUGUGCCUUCGGGAACUCUGAGACAGGUGCUGCAUGGCUGUCGUCAGCUCGUGUUGUGAAAUGUUGGGUUAAGUCCCGCAACGAGCGCAACCCUUAUCCUUGUUUGCCAGCACUUCGGGUGGGAACUCCAGGGAGACUGCCGGUGAUAAACCGGAGGAAGGUGGGGACGACGUCAAGUCAUCAUGGCCCUUACGAGUAGGGCUACACACGUGCUACAAUGGCAUAUACAGAGGGCAGCAAGACCGCGAGGUGGAGCGAAUCCCAGAAAGUAUGUCGUAGUCCGGAUCGGAGUCUGCAACUCGACUCCGUGAAGUCGGAAUCGCUAGUAAUCGUGGAUCAGAAUGCCACGGUGAAUACGUUCCCGGGCCUUGUACACACCGCCCGUCACACCAUGGGAGUGGGCUGCACCAGAAGUAGAUAGCUUAACCUUCGGGAGGGCGUUUACCACGGUGUGGUUCAUGACUGGGGUGAAGUCGUAACAAGGUAGCCCUAGGGGAACC
rnacentral:rRNA from 1 species